GUCCCUAAUUUUUAGGUUUUUACGUUCUAAGCGGCUAUGUUUUAAUACAAAAUCAAGAAUAAAUGUAACGGUUGUAAAAUUAACACGGAAGAAUUUCAUGGAGUGGCGGCAUUUCAAAUGUUGUCUACAUAAACAAUAUUCAAACCAUAUAGUACAAGUUGAUGGAAUUCAACUUGUAUUUAAAAUUUCGUGUAGCAGCUUGAAGUGGGUUUCAAGACUUAUGUGGAAGAAGUAUGUGGUUGUUCCACACAAAGGAAUCAUGACCUCCCCGACCAUGGCCAGCCAAAACAUUUAAAAGAUUGUACUCCGCAUCA